CUUACUUUACUUCUGUCCUUUUCUUUCUUUGCUUUGCAGAAUGUCUUUAGUAAGCCAAUGGUUUAUGAAGCUGUGUGGAUAAUUCCAGUAUAGGAGAGGUGCAUAGUUUUUCUUUGUUUUCUGGUGCUUAAUGAAUGACAUUUAUCAGGAUGAUUGACCAGCCUGGUUUUGAUUGUUGCCUCAUGGUGGUUUUAUCUGGCAUUGAGAUGUGGGAGAGAUUUGCUUGCCGUGGCUCUGGUUUUAACCUAAAGCGGGAAGGAUGGAAUGUACUAGAUAUGAUUCCUCUGAAUGAGUCCCUGCACAGUGCCCUGUGCUGCUUCCCCGUCCCAAGACCUGGAUUUCAUGCAAGAUGUGGCAGUAACUACCCACCAGGUUGGGUGUGACAGAGAUUUGAGGGAAGAGGAAGGAAUAGAUACUCAAGGUGCAAUUGCUGUGAUUCCUAAAUGAGUCAUGAGUUUUGAUGCUGAAAGAGCGACCUUGUCCUCAUCAACUACGUGUGUGGCUCUGCUUUCUAAGGUGAAAGAUGGGAUUGCUGUCUGUUCUGCACCUGGUGAUUCAGAUUUG
rnacentral:lncRNA from 1 species